UACGAAGGGGGCUAGCGUUGCUCGGAAUCACUGGGCGUAAAGCGCACGUAGGCGGCUUUCUAAGUCAGGGGUGAAAUCCUGGAGCUCAACUCCAGAACUGCCUUUGAUACUGGAGAGCUUGAGUCCGGGAGAGGUGAGUGGAACUCCGAGUGUAGAGGUGAAAUUCGUAGAUAUUCGGAGGAACACCAGUGGCGAAGGCGGCUCACUGGCUCGGUACUGACGCUGAGGUGCGAAAGCGUGGGGAGCAAACAGG
rnacentral:rRNA from 1 species